AUUGAACGCUGGCGGCAGGCCUAACACAUGCAAGUCGAACGAGUGGCGGACGGGUGAGUAAUGUCUGGGCAACUGCCUGAUUGAGGGGGAUAACUCCUGGAAACGGUCGCUAAUACCGCAUACCAUCGGAUGUGCCCAGAUGGGAUUAGCGAGUAGGUGGGGUAAAGGCUCACCUAGGCGACGAUCCCUAGCUGGUCUGAGAGGAUGACCAGCCACACUGGAACUGAGACACGGUCCAGACUCCUACGGGAGGCAGCAGUGGGGAAUAUUGCACAAUGGGCGCAAGCCUGAUGCAGCCAUGCCGCGUGUAUGAAGAAGGCCUUCGGGUUGUAAAGUACUUUCAGCGGGGAGGCGUUACCCGCAGAAGAAGCACCGGCUAACUCCGUGCCAGCAGCCGCGGUAAUUC
rnacentral:rRNA from 1 species